rnacentral:rRNA from 1 species
GACGAACGCUGGCGGCGUGCUUAACACAUGCAAGUCGAACGGUGAAGCGCCUUCCUUUUUGGUGGGUGUGGAUGAGUGGCGAACGGGUGAGUAACACGUGAGUAACCUGCCCCCUUCUUCUGGAUAACCGCAUGAAAGUGUGGCUAAUACGGGAUAUUCUGGGUCUGUCGCAUGAUGGGUCUGGGAAAGAUAUUGUUUCGGUGGGGGAUGGGCUCGCGGCCUAUCAGCUUGUUGGUGGGGUGAUGGCCUACCAAGGCGGUGACGGGUAGCCGGCCUGAGAGGGUGGACGGUCACACUGGGACUGAGACACGGCCCAGACUCCUACGGGAGGCAGCAGUGGGGAAUAUUGCACGAUGGGCGCAAGCCGGAUGCAGCGACGCCGCGUGAGGGAUGGAGGCCUUCGGGUUGUGAACCUCUUUCGCCAGUGAAGCAGGCCUGCCUCGUUUGUGGGUGGGUUGACGGUAGCUGGAUAAGAAGCGCCGGCUAACUACGU